ensembl:rRNA 5S_rRNA 5S ribosomal RNA
GUCUAAGGCCAUACCACCCUGAACGCUCCCGAUCUCAGGAGCUAAGCAGGGUCAGGCCUGGUUAGUACUUGGAUGGGAGACCUGGGAAUACCGGGUGCUGUAGGCU